UAGGGAAUCUUGCGCAAUGGGCGAAAGCCUGACGCAGCAACGCCGCGUGGAGGAAGAAGGCUCUCGGGUUGUAAACUCCUUUCAGCAGGGACGAAAUUGACGGUACCUGCAGAAGAAGCGCCGGCCAACUACGUGCCAGCAGCCGCGGUAACACGUAGGGCGCAAGCGUUGUCCGGAUUUAUUGGGCGUAAAGAGCUCGUAGGCGGUUUGGUAAGUCGGGUGUGAAAACUCUGGGCUCAACUCAGAGACGCCACCCGAUACUGCCAUGACUAGAGUCCGGUAGAGGAGCAUGGAAUUCAUGGUGUAGCGGUGGAAUGCGCAGAUAUCAUGAGGAACACCAGUAGCGAAGGCGGUGCUCUGGGCCGGUACUGACGCUGAGGAGCGAAAGCAUGGGGAGCAAACAGGAUUAGAUACCCCCGUAGUCC
rnacentral:rRNA from 1 species